AGGUUGCAGAGAAAAAUAAAACUGGGGGCGUUUUUGACACUAGUUCACUGCAGGGUGGGAUGAACAAACAGGUACCAAUGGAAGGCACACACCAAAGAAAGUCAGUCAAGGACGUUGGUACAUUUGGAUUCAAUGAAAUUUCAUGUCCAAAUUGACAGCUCCGGACAGCUGGACAGUUGUAACAUCACUGCCUAUCGAAUACCAACGUGUUUAUCAACAAUAACGUUUUGAUGUGUCUCUGCUGCAGUCGUUCAAGUAAGUCUGGUGCCGUCGUUGCUUCAUCGUUUUUUAGCAUUUAGUUGGUCCGAGCAAGUGGGGAAAAAGGCCUCACAAGUUACCUCCUGAACUGGCUUCUUAAUUUCCGUUCAGUCCACCAAGGAAGACAGAAUCUAUACUCUACCUUGCCAGUGCUAGAACAUGAGAUACGCCACUGCCUAAACGUUAUCUAUUUCAGGUAAAAUCACUUAAUGCAUUCUUUGGUAAUUUCUCUUAGGGCAAGUUACCAUUCGCGAAGUGCAGACGACGCGAGAUAUCCUUUUGGAUUGACUUGUAUUUGAUUACAAAUGUCUUGGCGAUUUCCUGACGAUUAACCAUACGUUAUUCCGAUUACAGUUAUCCGUCCAUCAUUACAAUUUCUAAUUUAAAUGACAUACAUCAGAGGAUUGGAAUGGAAGAGUCGGUUGAGAAAUAAUGCUAUAGCCUCUACUCUUAAUAAGCAUUGUGUUGCCUAGUAUUGUCUAUUCAUUCCACUACAAAAAUGGUGCCAUCGCAUAGCCAACGUCGUCAAUGUCAUGUAAUUUGUGGGCUUAAACGAUGCCGUGGUGUUAUCGCAGAUUGCAUGAUACAACGGGUGCUCUACGUUUGCAGGUUAACCUGUAUUUUUGACCCUGUCUAGAAGAAGGUGGGGUGAGAAGAAUCGCCGGCAGUGGAGACAGAAGUUGAUGGCUUGCCAACAAUAUGGUUUCAGUCCUUUACGACGGGGUGCAGUGUGGCGAAAUCAACUACCAUUGCUGAUUAAAAACACAUUCAGACCAUCUAACACGAUCUUCCGUUUGACAUGGGCAUCAGUUAUAAGGCAAGUAGCAUGAAAUAACAUCACCCACUACAGGAUUUGCAGUAUAUCAAUUUUUGUUAAUUAUAAUGAAAUUCUUCGGGUUGCAUCCGGC